rnacentral:misc_RNA from 1 species
GGAACAUAUCCUGGUUUUCCCAUAUCCUUCUCCAGCUCUGCAAUCUCUUCAAUGCUCAAAAAAGUAAGUAUCUUAAGAAACCUCACUACAUCAUCAUCUGGGACCGUAAAAAAGUAUUGAUAGAACUUAUACGGCGACAAAAGUGAAGCGGAUAGCCAAAUUGCACCAUCCUCUGAUUUUCCAAACUUGGUACCAUCACUCUUGAGAAGCAAAGGAAAAGUAAGCCCAAAAACAACCGGAACGCUGCCAACAACAGCUCCAUUAUCGGAAGAUUUUCCUACAAGCCUACGAAUAAGAUCAGUACCAGCAGUGAUAUUACCCCAUUGAUCACUACCACCAAUUUGCACAUUGACACCUUCCUUUUCAUACAAAUGCACAAAAUCAUAACCUUGUAAAAGCUGAUACGUAAACUCAGCAUAACUCAUCCCUUGCUCUGCAUUUUCCAACCUUUUCUUCACACUUUCCUUCGACAUCAUAGUCCCAACUCUAGCAUGCCUCCCCACAUUCCUCAAAAAAUCCAAAAACUUCACAUCUUUCCACCAAUCAUAAUUAUUCAAAAUUUGUACCUCUCUAGCAUUUUCACAAACACCUGGUGAGCAAACCAAAAUCUUCUUAACAAUACCAGCAAUCCCAGAUAUAUUCUUCUCCAAAGUCACUAAAUCAAGCUCUGGUCGCUCCAAACUCUUCCCAGAAGGGUCACCAAUUCGAC